UGUUGGCUUAGAAGCAGCCAUCAUUUAAAGAAAGCGUAAUAGCUCACUGGUCGAGUCGGCCUGCGCGGAAGAUGUAACGGGGCUAAACCAUGCACCGAAGCUGCGGCAGCGACGCUUAGGCGUUGUUGGGUAGGGGAGCGUUCUGUAAGCCGUUGAAGGUGGCCUGUGAGGGUUGCUGGAGGUAUCAGAAGUGCGAAUGCUGACAUAAGUAACGAUAAAGCGGGUGAAAAGCCCGCUCGCCGGAAGACCAAGGGUUCCUGUCCAACGUUAAUCGGGGCAGGGUGAGUCGACCCCUAAGGCGAGGCUGAAAAGCGUAGUCGAUGGGAAACAGGUUAAUAUUCCUGUACUUGGUGUUACUGCGAAGGGGGGACGGAGAAGGCUAGGCUAGCCGGGCGACGGUUGUCCCGGUUUAAGCGUGUAGGGGGUGUGACCUGGUAAAUCCGGUUGCAUGCUAACCCUGAGGCGUGAUGACGAUGCACUACGGUGCAGAAGUAGUUGAUGCCCUGCUUCCAGGAAAAUCCUCUAAGCAUCAGGUAACAUUAAAUCGUACCCCAAACCGACACAGGUGGUCAGGUAGAGAAUACCAAGGCGCUUGAGAGAACUCGGGUGAAGGAACUAGGCAAAAUGGUGCCGUAACUUCGGGAGAAGG
rnacentral:rRNA from 1 species